rnacentral:rRNA from 1 species
CCUACGGGCGGCAGCAGUGAGGAAUAUUGGUCAAUGGGCGCUAGCCUGAACCAGCCAAGUAGCGUGAAGGAUGACUGCCCUAUGGGUUGUAAACUUCUUUUAUAUGGGAAUAAAGUGCAGUAUGUAUACUGUUUUGCAUGUAUCUUAUGAAUCAGGAUCGGCUAACUCCGUGCCAGCAGCCGGGGUAAUACGGAGGAUCCGAGCGUUAUCCGGAGUUAUUGGGUUUAAAGGGAGCGUAGGCGGGUUGUUAAGUCAGAUGUGAAAGUUUGCAGCUCAACCGUAAAAUUGCAGUUGAUACUGGCAGCCUUGAGUGCAGUAGAGGUAGGCGGAAUUCGUGGUGUAGCGGUGAAAUGCUUAGAUAUCACGAAGAACUCCGAUUGCGAAGGCAGCCUGCUGGACUAUAACUGACGCUGAUGCUCGAAAGUGUGGGUAUCAAACAGGAUUAGAUACCCUAGUAGUC